UCCAUUUUAUGCGCAGGCAUCAAGCCCUGACACUAUUACUGAUGCCAUGUUGUGCUUGCAGACAGGAGCUGCCUCUGAGAGAUACUGUUACUUACAGCCAACUACUGCACUGAGGUUGAGUUAGGGGAAGAAUUGAAGGAGCUGAAGGCGAUUGCAACCUCCUGGGAAGAACAUGAGUAUAACUCACCUGGACUCCCUCAGAGCUCCUGGAAACUAAGCCACCAACUAAAGGAGGCUGACCUGAUGGACAAAUCAGGGAGCUCCCUGCCUCUGGAAGUCGAGAGGUGCCGUCACCAGCUGCUGAGGAGAUGGACGGCGUUGCACGUGGGUUUCUAGUGGCUCGUUCUCAGGUGAGUUUCCUAGUUUGGCAAAUUCUAGAUUCUACCAGGGCCCUUUCACAAAGCUCUAUUUUUUGGCUCGUGGAAACUGUUGCUUAAUUUGAGGGUCUGAAUCUAUCAUAGCCUGGUUUCUAUAAGAUCCUUUUACCUCUUUGUAGACUCUUGACAACCACCUAGUUUGGGUACAUUUUUCUACUUGCUGUGUUCUAAGAAUUCAUCCUAUAUAUUAAAUGACAUGUAUAGUGGAUGAUUCUGCAAACACCGUAAUUUUGUAACAGUGAAAUGUUAAAAAUAUAAUAUCAACUAGAAGAGUAUAAAGUAAUAUAUUACAGUAUACAUAAAUGAUAUGUACAGUACAAUAUUACAAAACUAUAAACAUAACGAGUUGUUAAGAAAAUGGCGUUUUCCCUGCAAUAUGAAGACCUGAAUUCUGAGCUCUGUAAGUCUCAUACAUUAGAUGUAGUGUAACAUGUUUGUAUUCCCAGCAAGGACUAAGAAAAAAAAUUAGAAAGAAUUUCUAAAGAAGUCAUAGAAAGUAAUAGAAUAACCAAUAAAUGAUACAGUUGCUGAAAUGUCCCAAGUAGUAAAAUAUUUGGACAGCUUUCUUUCUUAGCAUGAUCCAUACAUGGAAUUUCCCUUUGACUUCCUGAUAAGGGUUCGUUCAACACAUGCUUCCUUUAUUAUUUAGGGAGGCUCAAGUCUGUAGCCGGGGUGACUGACUACUGCAGAGCUGUGCUCAGUGAUCCUGGACUCCGUGAAAGGUGUGCAUUAUUGAAGGCAGUGAGACAAAGAGUGUCAGGAACUCCGCGAGGAGCAAGAAGCCUACCUCGAACACAGCCUAUUGGGAACACGCUCACCCAAGGUACGAAAAGCACCUGAAGUAGAGGGAUAAAAUCCUCUUGUUGGAGAUGGCUGCAGCUGGGCUUUGCCAGAAGCCAGAUGAACCUGGAGGCAUCAUCAUGAUGGUCACUUAGCAACCUGCGAAAGAACAUUGGUUAGGAAGAUCUGGUACUUACAACAUACAAUGACUGCACAUUUACAGGUCAGUGCAACACUCAGCCGUCACCAGGGAAGCUUCUUCCUACAGGAGAUAGGAAUUAACACCAGGGCAACAUGCAGAGGGAGACUCUGGAGACUCAGUUCUGCACGGGACGUCCUGAUCAAAACCCUCAGCUCAUGGCUCAGGGAUCUCUACAGAGGAGGGAGCAGGAAGAGGUCUGUAGCUUUAGCCUAUCAAGGGAUUUACCAUCUUCAGUCUGUGGUCUAACGCAAUGGCUGUCACUCAGGAAAUUGGGUGAACGAACACUGGCUGACAAAGUUAACUGACAGAACGGGCAACUACUCGUCUCUUGUGCGCAGACUUCGUCACACAAAGCAACCGAACACAGGUAGUCCUGUCUGCACGAUGUGUACACUGUGCGUCUCCAGGGCAACGAUCACACACAAGAGACCAACAAAUGUGAGGAUCACUGGGAUUUUCAGCUGUUAUUUUGAGAGCUGGCUGCCAAGACUGGAGUUCCUUUCCUGUGGCCCAUUCCUCCAGAAAAAGCAUGCUUGGCGGCUAUGGAACCCAGGAGAGCAGUACUAAGUCUGGAGGAAGAAGAUGUGCUCCAAUGGAAGGUAAGUAAGGAAAAGUGGUAUAAAAUUGUAUUGAGGCCAAUACAUUCCCUCCCAUACAAUUCAUUCUGUAAGGCUUGGUCUGAAACUCAGAAUUGUCUUUAAAACAAAUUUCUAAAUCUUAUAAUUAUCUGGCCUUCUCUCUUACAAAAGGAAGACAGUGAUAUAUAACCUUAAUUAUCUUUGGAAAGAUCAGCUCUGGGCAACGUUUUAAGAAGGAUUGCUUAAAAAAAUUCGAAGAUUGAGUGAAAAACUAAAUCACUUAUUUUGAUUUAUGUAUUAACGCAGUGUGUUACGCUAGGGGCUGUAGCUGUGUCUUAGCGUUAGAGUGCUUACCUAGAAUGCACAAGGCUCUGGACUGGAAAAUUCCCAGAACUGGAAAAAGACCACCCUCUCACCCCUCAGACCAACAGAACAACCAACCAACCAACCAACCAACCAACCAACCAACCAACCAAUCAACACCCUCCCCCCAUCAAAAUGGUGUUUACUGCUUAUCAACAACGUGUUAUGCUGAGUAAGUCAAGCCCUUGUUCUGCACACAUGGUAAUUUAUAGCCACUCACCAGCCUCAGCUGAAUGCAGUUAUGGAGACCAAGAUAACAUCAGCCAAGAACUUCCAGUUAGGAAGGCAGUUGGGAUAAUCCAGGCAGCAAAGACUGUACAAAUGUGAGUAAUAGAAACACAAUACUACAGGGCAGGGAUAAGCCUAGUUGUUGAGAAUCCAUGUUGUGGUGUUGGAAGCAAUUGCAGAAAGACAAUAGACAGCGGAAAGACAACAGACAGUGGGUCAAAAGGAUUUUGCUAAGAAGACACCAAGAGGAAAUAAGUUACAUAGUAGAGAGGAGGUUGGGAUAUAUCAGCACUAUACUGCUGAUUAACAAAAGGAAGUUGGCUAUUUUGGGAAAAAUUGAACAUUAAAUCAACCUGGACAUGGUAGCACACACACUUGUAUUUCCACCUACCAGGAGGCUGAAGCAAGAGGACUGCAAGUUCAAAGCCUGGGCAAUUUAGUGAGACCCUAUUUCAAAACAAAACACCAUCACUAACAAAGGAAACAGAAGAUUUUCAUUUCAUUGACACAUUAAACAGAUGCAGGAAGGAAGGAAGGAGGUGGAGGGGGGGCAAUAUGGUUAAAAAUUUUUUUCAUUUACUUUUUGCUACAGGGACUCACUGGGUAGCUGUGGCAGGCCUGGAACUUACUGUGUAGACCAGGCUGACCUUGAACUAAUAGAGAUCUGCCUGCUUCUAUCUACAGAAUGCCAGCAUUCUGGGUGUGCAUCACCACAUCAAGCCUAAAACUUGUUUAUAGGUGCAUGAGCACAUUAUCAGUAGCUAUAACUACUGCAGAAAUGUUUCUCCUUCACCCAUCAGCCAUUAUUAACUGCACAUAAAAACUCAGGAUAAUAUGAUCUUAGGAAUUUGGAUUGAGAGUUAAGUUCAUGUGCAUUAACACAGAAGGUUGGAAUUGGUGGUCAAGACUGUACUACCGAUAACAAGCACUAGGUUGUGAAGUAUAUGUCAAAGCACUGUCUUUGGUCUUUAAAAGUACAUUUGUGAGAGGAGACUGCAUCCUUCUCCCUAGCCUAAAGUCAUCAUUGUUUCCUGGGAGUCUCAAAGGAAAUAGAAGGACUCUGAUUCAAAGAUCUGUAUCUGACAACUCUUUGAAGUAGGGAGACAUAAGGUAUAGAAUAAAUAAGGUAGAAUCUAUUAAUACAGGUAGUUUGAUGUACUUUCUGAAGAUGGUCAUAUUAGGAAAGACUUUUGGGAGUUCAAGCCUGAAUGUAACACCACAAUCUUUUGAAGUACUUUGAAAAAAAUUACUUUUAAUAAGAAGAAAAUUUAAAAAUUAUAGAAGU
rnacentral:sRNA from 1 species